rnacentral:rRNA from 1 species
AGUGAACGCUGGCGGUAGGCCUAACACAUGCAAGUCGAACGGCAGCACAGUAAGAGCUUGCUCUUACGGGUGGCGAGUGGCGGACGUGUGAGGAAUACAUCGGAAUCUACUUUUUCGUGGGGGAUAACGUAGGGAAACUUACGCUAAUACCGCAUACGACCUACGGGUGAAAGCAGGGGAUCUUCGGACCUUGCGCGAUUGAAUGAGCCGAUGUCGGAUUAGCUAGUUGGCGGGGUAAAGGCCCACCAAGGCGACGAUCCGUAGCUGGUCUGAGAGGAUGAUCAGCCACAUUGGAACUGAGACACGGUCCAGACUCCUACGGGAGGCAGCAGUGGGGAAUAGUGGACAAUGGGCGCAAGCCUGAUCCAGCCAUACCGCGUGGGUGAAGAAGGCCUUCGGGUUGUAAAGCCCUUUUGUUGGGAAAGAAAAGCAGCAGGUUAAUACCCCGCGGUUCUGACGGUACCCAAAGAAUAAGCACCGGCUAACUUCGUG